GAAGCUGACCAGACAGUCGCCGCUUCGUCGUCGUCCUCCUUCGGGGGGAGACGGGCGGAGGGGAGGAAAGUCCGGGCUCCAUAGGGCAAGGUGCCAGGUAACGCCUGGGGGGGGUCACAGCCCACGACCAGUGCAACAGAGAGUAAACCGCCGAUGGCCCGCGCAAGCGGGAUCAGGUAAGGGUGAAAGGGUGCGGUAAGAGCGCACCGCGCGGCUGGUAACAGUCCGCGGCACGGUAAACUCCACCCGGAGCAAGGCCAAAUAGGGGUUCAUAAGGUACGGCCCGUACUGAACCCGGGUAGGCUGCUUGAGCCAGUGAGCGAUUGCUGGCCUAGAUGAAUGACUGUCCACGACAGAACCCGGCUUAUCGGUCAGUUUCACCU
rnacentral:RNase_P_RNA from 1 species